AUGUACAGCAAGGAUAUUUCCAAGAAAGUCCAUUCCUCUUAUCUUCUGUAGCGCGAUGGAGGGACGCAGGAAGAUAGGCGGGCCGGGUGUUGGAUAUCCCGGUGCAAGCGUGUAGGAAUAUCCGGUAGGCAAAUCCGCCGGACGAAUCUGAGACGCGAGUCCGUGGGCGCAAGCCCUGAAGCCGUUGAGUCUAUGCUGCCUAGAAAAGCUUCUAAGUAUAGGACACGCAAACCGUACCGGAAACCAACUCAGGUGGGUGGGAUGAAUAAUCCAAGGCGCUCGAGAGAACUCUGGCCAAGGAACUCGGCAAAAUAACCCCGUACCUUCGGAAGAAGGGGUGCUUUUUAGGGUGAAGCGAUUCACUCUGUCGAGCCCUGAAAAGCCGCAGAGAAAUGGUGGUGGCGACUGUUUACUAAAAACAUAGGUCUGUGCCAAGUCGUAUAGACGACGUAUACGGACUGACGCCUGCCCGGUGCUGGAAGGUUAAAAGGAGGAGUCAGCGCAAGCGAAGCUCCGAAUUGAAGCCCCAGUAAACGGCGGCCGUAACUAUAACGGUCCUAAGGUAGCGAAAUUCCUUGUCGGGUAAGUUCCGACCUGCACGAAUGGCGUAACGAUCUCCACACUGUCUCGGCCAGAGACUCGGUGAAAUUGAAGUCGCGGUGAAAAUGCCGUGUACCCGCAGAAAGACGGAAAGACCCUGUGCACCUUUACUAUAGCUUGACAUUGGAUUUUGGGCCUGCAUGUGUAGGAUAGGUGGGAGGCUGUGAACCCUGUACGCCAGUAUGGGGGGAGCCAUCCUUGAAAUACCACCCUUGCAUGUUUAAGAUCCUAACUUCUUCCGGUUAUCCCGGAGAAAGACAGUGUCUGGCGGGUAGUUUGACUGGGGCGGUCGCCUCCUAAAGUGUAACGGAGGCAUGCAAAGGUUCCCUCAGCCUGAUCGGAAACCAGGCGCUGAGUGCAAACGCAUAAGGGAGCUUGACUGUAAGAGAGACAUCUCGAACAGGAACGAAAGUUGGCGUUAGUGAUCCGGUGGUCCCGUAUGGAAGGGCCAUCGCUCAUUGGAUAAAAGGUACGCCGGGGAUAACAGGCUGAUCGCAUCCAAGAGUUCACAUCGACGAUGCGGUUUGGCACCUCGAUGUCGGCUCAUCACAUCCUGGGGCUGAAGCAGGUCCCAAGGGUACGGCUGUUCGCCGUUUAAAGUGGUACGCGAGCUGGGUUUAAAACGUCGUGAGACAGUUUGGUCCCUAUCUUCUGUGGGCGUAGGAGAAUUGAAAGGGCCUGUCCCUAGUACGAGAGGACCGGGAUGGACACACCACUGGUGGACCUGUUGUCGUGCCAACGGCACAGCAGGGUAGCUAUGUGUGGAAGGGAUAACCGCUGAAAGCAUCUAAGCGGGAAGCCUGCCUCAAGAUAAGUUCUCCCCUCGAAAGAGCUGAAGGGCCCGGGUAGACUACCCGGUCGAUAGGCUGGAGGUGUAAGCGCGGCGACGUGCUCAGCUGACCAGUACUAAUAGCCCGAGCGGCUUAUUUUU
rnacentral:rRNA from 1 species